rnacentral:rRNA from 1 species
CUGCGUUGUAUUAGCUAGUAGGUGAGGUAACGGCUCACCUAGGCGACGAUACAUAGCCGACCUGAGAGGGUGAUCGGCCACACUGGGACUGAGACACGGCCCAGACUCCUACGGGAGGCAGCAGUAGGGAAUCUUCGGCAAUGGACGAAAGUCUGACCGAGCAACGCCGCGUGAGUGAAGAAGGUUUUCGGAUCGUAAAGCUCUGUUGUAAGAGAAGAACGGGUGUGAGAGUGGAAAGUUCACACUGUGACGGUAUCUUACCAGAAAGGGACGGCUAACUACGUGCCAGCAGCCGCGGUAAUACGUAGGUCCCGAGCGUUGUCCGGAUUUAUUGGGCGUAAAGCGAGCGCAGGCGGUUAGAUAAGUCUGAAGUUAAAGGCUGUGGCUUAACCAUAGUACGCUUUGGAAACUGUUUAACUUGAGUGCAGAAGGGGAGAGUGGAAUUCCAUGUGUAGCGGUGAAAUGCGUAGAUAUAUGGAGGAACACCGGUGGCGAAAGCGGCUCUCUGGUCUGUAACUGACGCUGAGGCUCGAAAGCGUGGGGAGCGAACAGG